CCUACGGGAGGCAGCAGUGGGGAAUAUUGGGCAAUGGGCGCAAGCCUGACCCAGCAACGCCGCGUGAAGGAAGAAGGCUCUCGGGUUGUAAACUUCUUUUAUCAGGGACGAAGCAAGUGACGGUACCUGAUGAAUAAGCCACGGCUAACUACGUGCCAGCAGCCGCGGUAAUACGUAGGUGGCAAGCGUUAUCCGGAUUUACUGGGUGUAAAGGGCGUGUAGGCGGGAAAGCAAGUCAGAUGUGAAAACCAUGGGCUCAACCUGUGGACUGCCUUUGAAACUGGUUUUCUUGAGUACUGGAGAGGCAGACGGAAUUCGUAGUGUAGCGGUGAAAGGCGUAGAUAUUAGGAGGAACACCAGUGGCGAAGGCGGUCUGCUGGACAGCAACUGACGCUGAGGCGCGAAAGCGUGGGGAGCAAACAGGAUUAGAUACCCCAGUAGUC
rnacentral:rRNA from 1 species